UACAGAGGGUGCGAGCGUUGUCCGGAAUCACUGGGCGUAAAGGGCGCGUAGGUGGUUGGGGAAGCGUGUGGUGAAAGCCCGGGGCUCAACCCCGGGUCGGCCAUGCGAACUGCCCGACUGGAGCACGGUAGAGGCCAAUGGAAUUCCGGGUGUAGCGGUGGAAUGCGUAGAUAUCGGGAAGAAUACCGGUGGCGAAGGCGUUCUGCUGGGCCGUUGCUGACGCUGAGGCGCGACAGCGUGGGGGAGCAAACAGG
rnacentral:rRNA from 1 species